GUCAUAUGCUUGUCUCAAAGAUUAAGCCAUGCAUGUCUCAGUACAAGCCAAAUUAAGGUGAAACCGCGAAAGGCUCAUUAAAUCAGUUAUGGUUCCUUAGAUCGUACCCACAAUUACUUGGAUAACUGUGGUAAUUCUAGAGCUAAUACAUGCAAACAGAGCUCCGACCGGAGACGGAAGGAGUGCUUUUAUUAGAUCAAAACCAAUCGGUGGCGGGUUUCGCGCUCGUCAUCGUACAACUUGGUGACUCUGAAUAACUUUACGCUGAUCGCACGGUCAUCGCACCGGCGACGCAUCUUUCAAAUGUCUGCCUUAUCAACUGUCGAUGGUAGGUUCUGCGCCUACCAUGGUUGUAACGGGUAACGGGGAAUCAGGGUUCGAUUCCGGAGAGGGAGCCUGAGAAACGGCUACCACAUCCAAGGAAGGCAGCAGGCGCGCAAAUUACCCACUCCCGGCACGGGGAGGUAGUGACGAAAAAUAACGAUACGGGACUCAUCCGAGGCCCCGUAAUCGGAAUGAGUACACUCUAAACCCUUUAACGAGGAUCAAUUGGAGGGCAAGUCUGGUGCCAGCAGCCGCGG
rnacentral:rRNA from 1 species